CUGUCUCCUUUUGUGACCAGGUACUUUGAAAAAUGUUUAAUUCAAUGAUAAAGAGCCUGCCCAAGAGUUUAAAAUACAAUAAAAACAAGAACGUACAUCAAUUGUUGAUCCCAUCUGAUGGCAGUCUGUCCUUGAGCAUAUAGCUAAAAGGAUUUUCUCUGUAUCAAGUGGCACAACUACGGUGGACAUUCUGGAAACCAGGUGUCUGUUUGUAUGAAAAUGGUUGGAAGAAACAGAUCAGCACCCACAUCAGCGUAAUGUCUUCAUGGUCUUAUGCUGCAAUAAAGGGAAUGAUGCAUGCUUCACUGCAGAAAAACUAUAACUGCUGAGAAGUUCUUAUAAACCAAUGAUCUCAAAAUUAUUUUGGUAAUUUUUUUCUUCCAAAUAAAAUUAGAUAAACUCUACAUCCCUUCACUGCGCUCAAUACCCACCUUCUGUAAAAAGCAUGAAGAAAACUUCAAUGGACCAACAAGGCUGUAACACUGGGGGAAAUGAUUGAUUUCACUUAAACACCACCACCAACAAAAAAUGUUUAAAAACAGUUUCACGGCGCAACUUUCUCCUUGCUUUUUUUUCUUAUAGUUGGAAUGUAUUUUAUCGUCUGUCAGUUUUGCCCCUAUGAUAUGUCCUCUUAAAUUGGAUCUGUAAGCCCUUCAUAAAGUUUAAUAAAUCUUCAGCAUUUCACCCUAA